UACAGAGGGUGCGAGCGUUAAUCGGAAUUACUGGGCGUAAAGCGUGCGUAGACGGCUAUCUAAGUCGGGUGUGAAAGCCCCGGGCUCAACCUGGGAAUUGCAUUCGAGACUGAAUAGCUAGGGUACGGUAGAGGGAAGUGGAAUUUCCGGUGUAGCGGUGAAAUGCGUAGAUAUCGGAAGGAACAUCAGUGGCGAAAGCGACUUCCUGGACCAGUGCCGACGUUCAGGCACGAAAGCGUGGGGAGCAAACAGG
rnacentral:rRNA from 1 species